rnacentral:misc_RNA from 1 species
GCACAGUUGAUUGGCAACAUGCAGGUAUAUCAUGCUACCACCUCAAUUUCAUUGCCAUUGUUACUAGUAGUUGGUAGCCAUCGAUAAUUAGACUACUGAAGAUACGCUGAGAUAAAUGUGUGGACUUGUUUGACACAUGCGCCUACAAGAAACCAAAAAAAAUAAUUACUACCUAGUAUGUAUAUAUAAUGAUAGUUUGUUCGCCUCUUUGUCUCUUACUCUCUCAAUUGAGUUUCUGGAUGCACCUAUGACUAUGAAUUUGAAAGUUGAAUUCCCCAUGAUGACGAGUUAAAUGCUAUGAUUUACUAUUAUUUUCAGUUAUGUCGCUAAUCAACUAAUUUUAUAAUUGUUUUAGAAAUUUGUUUUGCAACGCUAAAGUUAGCUAAAAGGAUUUUAUAG